UUUAUUGAAACAUUUAAAACAAUUAAGAAAGCACAAUUCACUAACUUCUACAUUGUUUAACAUGUCGGCAUUAUAAUGUAUGGACCCGGGUGCACCCUUAUUGGCGGUUAAUAAUUCUGAUUUUUCAGAAGCAGCAUUUCAAAAUAAUUCGUUGCUGAAGUUCUCCUAGGGACAAUUGAUUGUCUGACUAAAUGAUACUCGUUUUCCAACCUGGUGCCCUCCGAUGCCUACGCUAGCUGAAUAGUCUGCAAAUUAUAAUCCCAGGAACACCCAGAGGGCACCAGAUUAGAAAAUGCUGCUGUAGGCAUACAAGAUUCAUCAUAUGAGCUGGUUGGACUAAUGUUUUUUUUCCCCCCUAAACCAGGCAACCUAACUGAGGAUGAAAGAAUUAAAGAAUCAUCUCAGGUCAUGAGGAUGGAGGGGGAGGAAAGAAGGGAGGGACGUGGCAGUCACAUGUCCACUGCAUAAUCAGAUUUCAAGCUUCAGUGCAGAGAGCUGUGCAGCUACACCAAAACAACAGGAGAGCAUAUUGGAGCAUGUCAGCAAUAAACCUGCCUUUGUAACUGAACAGCCACCAAUGUUGUUACCUAAUCCCAAGGGGCGUGUGGUCAAUUUCCAAUUUAUCUCUUGUUGUGUUUGUAUUUUCAAAAGGUAUCCCAGGAUACCUCAGUGGCAUUCACAGUAGCACACUCCCUCUAUUUGGAAAAAGCCCAAUGUCGUAUCUAACUCAUGCAAUGAGAAUGCAGAAGUACCUUUUUUCCCUAGAGAAAUAUGCCUACAGUUGCCAUAAACAUUAGAAUCCAUAUGUUUGGAAUGGGCACAUGAGCAGCUGGAAAAUCUCUUUGCCCCUGAAGCUGCUAACUACUUCUGUAGUUGCUACUUGCAGUUACUUGUGCAAAUCUGUCCUUCAGUGUGAUGUGCUCUUUGAAGUGUGAGAGAUCAGGAACCAGAGAAGACAGCUUCAAAUGCAAAAAGAGAGGCCAUAUUCUGAGGCACAGCCAGAAAAGAUCACAGAAUUUUAAUAAAAGAACAAAGUAUAUCUGGUUCUCCUAAUGCUGCAGGAUCCUGCCUCUCCAGUGAAAUCAGAUGAAGAGGCUUCUUUGUAUAUUCCCUUUAUAUCUAUUCCUCUUUUAAUCGGAAUAGAGGACAGAACCCUUCUGUCUCAUGAAGUCUGUUUAACAGUUUCCUUAUGUAUCAUAUUGUUUCUUUGAAAGCUAUUUGUUUCACAGCUGUUUAAAAGUUAAUCUGAUUAAUAAUGUUA